rnacentral:rRNA from 1 species
AUGAGUGUAUUUAAGCUCCCGGCUUCAGUGUGUGAUGAAUUGACCCGGCUGAUACGUCAGUACUGGUGGGGUCUGGAGGAAGGAAAGAACAAGAUGGCGUGGCUCAAUUGGGAUAAAAUGAGGUUACCUAAGGCAAUGGGUGGCUUGGGGUUCACAGAUAUGAGAUCGUUUAAUCAGGCGCUUCUCGCUAAGCAGGCUUGGCGUCUUAUUGACACUCCGGACAGCCUUUGUGCCAGAUUGUUGAAGGCCAAGUACUAUCCCUCAGGCAACCUGCUGGAUACGGUAUUUCCCAACACUGGAUCAGCGGUCUGGAAAGGUAUCCUCCAUGGCCUCGAGUUGUUAAAAGCAGGAAUUAUAUGGCGAGUUGGAAAUGGUUCAAAUAUAAGAACCUGGAGGGAUCCAUGGAUCCCGAGGGCAUCGUCUUUCCGGCCUAUAACACCAAAGCGCACGUCCCGUCUAAACCGAGUCUCCGAUUUCCUAGAUGGGAAUGGUGCAUGGUGGAUGGAUAGGCUGUCACAACACUUUUGGCAGAUGGACAUUGAUCACAUUUUGAAAAUAAGAACGUCCCCAAGGCAGCGUUGUGAUUUUAUCUCCUGGUUCCUGGAGAAGAAUGGGCUGUUUUCAGUAAAAAGUGCCUAUAAAUUGGCUACAAGUGCUCAUGAUGCAGCCUUCGCAGGAGGAUCAUCUUGAGAAGCACCAAAUGGCAGGAGAUCAAUUUGGAACUGUGUGUGGAAAGCAUCGGUGCCACAGAAGAUGAAGAUAACGGUUUGGAAGGUGGUGGCCGAGGCAUUGCCGACUGCGGCAUGCAAAAAGUACAGACAUGUAUCUAAGCGUUCUACUUGCCCGCUAUGUGGGGUUGAGGAGGAGAAUGAAUUCCAUGCUUUAAUCACAUGUGAUCAUGUGCGUACUCUGUGGACAAACAUGCGCGCUAGAUGGCCUCUCCCGUCGGAUGGACUGCUGAUCAAUACCGGCAAGGAGUGGCUUCUGAAUCUGCUCACUCAAUGCUCUGAUUAG